rnacentral:rRNA from 1 species
GACGAACGCUGGCGGCGUGCCUAAUACAUGCAAGUUGAGCGCUGAAGGUUGGUACUUGUACCGACUGGAUGAGCAGCGAACGGGUGAGUAACGCGUGGGGAAUCUGCCUUUGAGCGGGGGACAACAUUUGGAAACGAAUGCUAAUACCGCAUAAAAACUUUAAACACAAGUUUUAAGUUUGAAAGAUGCAAUUGCAUCACUCAAAGAUGAUUCCGCGUUGUAUUAGCUAGUUGGUGAGGUAAAGGCUCACCAAGGCGAUGAUACAUAGCCGACCUGAGAGGGUGAUCGGCCACAUUGGGACUGAGACACGGCCCAAACUCCUACGGGAGGCAGCAGUAGGGAAUCUUCGGCAAUGGACGAAAGUCUGACCGAGCAACGCCGCGUGAGUGAAGAAGGUUUUCGGAUCGUAAAACUCUGUUGGUAGAGAAGAACGUUGGUGAGAGUGGAAAGCUCAUCAAGUGACGGUAACUACCCAGAAAGGGACGGCUAACUACGUG